AUGGAUCGGAACCUUAAAAUUCUGUUUUGGAAUGUCCAUGGCCUCAACUCUGGCAUGAAGCAUGCUGCCGUUCGCCGUGUCAUAUCCUCUGAUAUGCCUGACAUAGUUUGCCUACCGGAAACUAAGCUCGAGUUCAUCACCCCUCCACUGGUCUUGGAGACCCUAGGGCCAGCAUUCGACGCCUUCCACUUCCUCCCUGCAGCUGACACUUGUGGCGGGAUUCUACUCGCCUGGCGUGCUUCCGAGCUUGUGAUUUCCAGCCCGACCAUCAGGGCGCACCACAUAUCCGCCGUGGUCUCCUUGCUCUCCGAUGAACAUCCCUUCUGGCUCACCGGCGUCUACGGGCCUCAGGCGGACUCUUACAAGAUGGUUUUCCUGCAAGAUCUUCAAGAUGUGCACGACCUUUGCGCUGGCCCAUGGAUCAUUGGCGGCAACUUCAAUAUGAUUGCGGCCGUGGUGGACAAGAACAACUCGAGGCUUAACAUGCGCCUCAUUAGACGCUUCCGUCGAUUCAUGGCUGAUCUUGAGCUGCUCGAUAUGUACCUCCACGGUAGGCACUACACUUGGUCCAACAAGCGGGACUCUCCCACCUUGGUGCGCGAUAGAGUGCUAUGCACUUCUACGUGGGAGUUGGCCCACCCAAUCUGCCUACUCCGCUGUCUCUCGUCUGCGGCCUCCGAUCAUUGCCCGCUCAUGGUGGACUGCACCCCGCGAACUCCGGGUGUACACUGCUUCCACUUUGAGAAAUUUUGGCCUAAGAUGCCAGGCUUCGCGUAG
rnacentral:rRNA from 1 species